CCUACGGGUGGCAGCAGUGAGGAAUAUUGGUCAAUGGCCGUAAGCCUGAACCAGCCAAGUCGCGUGAAGGAAGAAGGAUCUAUGGUUUGUAAACUUCUUUUAUAGGGGAAUAAAGGUCUCCACGUGUGGAUUUUUGUAUGUACCCUAUGAAUAAGCAUCGGCUAACUCCGUGCCAGCAGCCGCGGUAAUACGGAGGAUGCGAGCGUUAUCCGGAUUUAUUGGGUUUAAAGGGUGCGUAGGUUGUGUUUUAAGUCAGCGGUGAAAGUUUGUGGCUCAACCAUAAAAUUGCCGUUGGAACUGGAAGACUUGAGUGUGUUUGAGGGAAGCGGGAUGCGUGGUGG
rnacentral:rRNA from 1 species